UACGGGGGGGUAAGCGUUGUUCGGAAUUACUGGGCGUAAAGGGCUUGUAGGUGGCCAACUAAGUCAGACGUGAAAUCCCUCGGCUUAACCGGGGAACUGCGCCUGAUACUGGAUGGCUUGAGUGUGGGAGAGGGAUGCGGAAUUCCAGGUGUAGCGGUGAAAUGCGUAGAUAUCAGGAGGAAUACCGAUGGCGAAGGCAGGUCUCUGGGCUGACACUGACGCUCAUGCACGAAAGCGUGGGGAGCAAACAGG
rnacentral:rRNA from 1 species